AGUGAUAUGUCUGAACAAAAGUAAUAAACUGUAAAUUUAUUUAUAAAUAAUUUAAAUUAUUUUAUCACUA
rnacentral:tRNA from 1 species